rnacentral:tRNA from 5 species
GCGGUCGUGGCGGAAUCGGCAGACGCGCUAGGUUGAGGGCCUAGUGGGAGGUAAUCCCGUGGAGGUUCAAGUCCUCUCGGCCGCACCA